AUACGGGAGGCAGCAGUGGGGAAUCUUGCACAAUGGAGGAAACUCUGAUGCAGCGACGCCGCGUGAGCGAUGAAGCCCUUCGGGGUGUAAAGCUCUUUCGACAGGAACGAUAAUGACGGUACCUGGAGAAGAAGCUGCGGCUAACUACGUGCCAGCAGCCGCGGUAAUACGUAGGCAGCAAGCGUUGUUCGGAAUUACUGGGCGUAAAGAGUGUGUAGGCGGUUCUCUAAGUUCGGUGUGAAAUCUCCCGGCUUAACUGGGAGGGUGCGCCGGAAACUGGAGGGCUUGAGUAUGGGAGAGGAAGGCGGAAUUCCUGGUGUAGCGGUGAAAUGCGUAGAUAUCAGGAGGAACACCUGCGGUGUAGACAGCUUUCUGGACCAUCACUGACGCUGAGACACGAAAGCGUGGGUAGCAAACAGGAUUAGAUACCCCAGUAGUCU
rnacentral:rRNA from 1 species